rnacentral:lncRNA from 1 species
CCGGGACUGCCUGGCGAGUGUACAUGCUCGCAGGGCAAGGGCAGCGCAGCACUGAGCUACUCAGGCCCAGGCCCCUCCCAGGCAGAGCAAUGAGUCCAGCAGCUCUGCCCGCAAGGGUCUGGGGCUGCCAUGGGCUAACCAAGAGGUGUCUGAGGAGAUUGCAGACAGUGGCUGGAGACGGAAGGUGAAAAAGUUAGAAGAUCCAGGUUGGAAAAAUUUGAGGAAGAAAGUAGUCAGACAGGUGUGGGCAGAAUAGGGUCAAACUCUCCUGCAGACCAGGACACAGGCUCUGACUUCUCCACACCACACCCCAGGCCCUCCAGGUCACUUCCUGCUGCAGAGUCCUCACUCCAGCUUUCUCACCAAUCCUCCCCCUACACAAGAAGAUCAUCUCUGGGUUCAGGUCACCCAUCCAACUCCACUGAUGGAUUUAGGCUCAUUUAAUCCAAACUCGACUCCAUUUCAGCCAGAACCAGGCACCUCUAGAAAGGUCACCCUAACUGCCACAUCCAGUUCCUGAUCUGCCAUCUGCUUCUUUUCCAUCACUUGUGGGGUAUUUCCCAGCCUACCACUAAUGUGAGCCCUCCUGAGUCAAAAGUUCCCCUCUUCCAGGCCUCCUGCUCAGCUGACGUCCUGGACCAGGCAGGCCACCCUUGUUCCACUUCCCCUGGGAAGACACCUGGGUCUUGUGCCUGCCCUGGAUUAGGGUGGGCAAAUUAGUUCAUCCAGGACUAGAAGAAUGGAAAUAAACAGACUUGUGUCUUGGGGCUGACUCUGAAAGGUCCAAUGUUAUGCCUAACAGAAAAGCUCACCUUCCUCCAAACCCCUGGAGCCAUCUCAGGAGGCCCAGGGCCACCUAUUCCAUUCCUGACAAAACCCUAGAUGCCCACAUACUGCCCAGCCAGGUGUGACAUGGGCCUCUGUGACCCAAGCUGAGGACUAACCCACCGCUCAUAACACGGUUUCUACGGGAAAACCAAGUUGUGAAUUUUGAAUUAUCAGCCCACUGAGGGUGGAAGUCCAAGAUCUGUGGUGAUUUGGGUGCUGAUGCAAGCCAGAAGUCACAGCCCAGAGCCUGCAGCGGCUGCACUGCUGGGUCCCCAGUCCUCGAUGGGCACCAGCCAACCUGCCCUCUCGACCCUCCACAGCAACUCAGGCCCCCACUCCAUGGCUCCCCUGCACCAUCCUCAUGCCUGGUCAACUCUUGCUGCCAGUUGCUGUGAGACCCAGCUCACCACUGGGCAAACAGAGCUUGCAAAAUGCAGCCCAUGCUCACCAUUCAUGGAUUCCAUAUGUACAAAUUCACCUACCUGCGAAAUUGUAUCUGUAACCCCAAAAUCAAUACUGGCUGCACUUUUGGGGUCAUUCUCGGACACACACAGAGUGGGGAAGAAUGAGGGCUGCUCAACACGCACAUUCCCAGCGGGGGUGGAACAAGGCCCGCUCAGCCUGCUGGCUUCAGCUCCCACAAUGCAAACAAGUGUCCUUUUCGCAGGCUAUUUGGUGCCACAUUUUUCAUGCUUUUGUGCUUUGUGUUGGUGAUUUCACUGUUUAAAAUGUCCCCUAAGCAUAUUCGAAGCAACCUGGAUGAGACUGGAGACUAUUAUUCUAAGUGAAGUAACUCAGGAAUGGAAAACCAAACAUUGUCUGUUCUCACUCAUAAGUGAGAGCUAAGCUAUGAGGAUGCAAAGGCAUAAGAAUGACACAAUGGACUUUGGGGACUCAGGGAGAAAGAGUGGGAAGGGGGUGAGGGAUAAAAGACUACAAACUGGGUUCAGUGUAUGCUUCCCAGGUGAUGAGUGCACCAAAAUCUCACAAAUCACCACUAAAGAACUGACUCAUGUAACCAAAUGCCACCUGUUCCCCAAUAACCUAUGAAAAUAAAAAAAAAAAUUAAUGUCCCCCAAG